AGGAAAAACGUAAAACUAGACCUCCUAACCACUUCCUAAACUGAAAUAAAUAGAAAUUAUUAAUUAUAUACUAAGAUGGAUCCAUCAAAUUCUUCCAAAAUCUUGGACUGCAGCAAUUUUUAAAAUCUGAGAAGAAUACAGGCCUUUGGAUGACACUUGGAGCUUUGCUGCGUGCUGAUUUUCCAUCCGCUGUUGAUAACAAGAAGCUAAAGGAAGUUUAUGUUUAUUCUCAUGCUCUGACAAGCGGCAGCAAUGAUCUUUUAAAUAUUUGUGCCAUACCUUCCAUUUAUUGUGAUUUACCUUUAGCCUUUAGAAUCCUUUCCUCGUGGUGACUGAAUCAGGGUUUGCCAAAUGUGGACUUUGAGGAUUCAAAAAGGUCUUUUUUGAUAUUAAAUUUUACUGCAUCUUGUUAAUCUAUAGAUCUCCAUGAGAGGGGAAAAAAGAGCUAGAGACAACUUAAAAAAGGUAACAUGUUACUACUAUACAAAAGCUUUAGUAUUCAUGUGUGAAAACUUUCACAAGUUAGUUCCUAACAUAUU
rnacentral:lncRNA from 1 species